rnacentral:misc_RNA from 1 species
GUCACCCAUGCUCACCGCCAUCAUGGCCAGAUCUGAGGAAUAAAUAAAGGAGUUUGGAGAAGAAAAAAAAACCCCGCGAGAUAAGAACAGCGAUGGAGACCUGCAACUCGAACCAGAACAACAUAACAGAUGUAUAAGGCAUCAAAUUACAACGUUUUAGAAUUGAUUUAACAGCAACGAAUCAUGUAUACUACUUCAUUAAAAUCUAUCUAAAAGAAACAUGACUUUUGCUAAUCAUGUUUAUUUUUUGUGUUUUUUUAUUUGUGAGUUGCGUUUAUUAACCAAUAAAACUAACGUAGUAUUGUUCUGAUAAAGAGAAAACAAACGUUCAAGUGGAAAUAUUUUACAGCUACAGUAUGUACAUAAGUAAUGGAAAAUUGAACGCGUGAUAUAAACACCCCACUAUCUCUUGUCAUUUUGAUCUUUACACACUUUUAAUUGAGGGGGAUUGAAAAGAGAUACGUUUGUUCUCUUCUUAAAUAAGAUUGCAUUACAAUUUGCUAAAGCUGGGAUACAUGUAAAUCUUUUCAAGUCCACUCCUUGAUUUUAUAAUUUGCAAAGAUGAAUUUAAAAAAUGAUAUCACUGGCAUUUAGAAAUUAUAUAAGUUGUCUCAACACAAUAAUUCAAAUUAAAUUGAAAAAUUACAUUACGAAUAAUUUUAGUUAUCAAAAAUGAGAGAUGGGGUUCUAAAUGAAUUGAGUGAAUUAAAUUAAAAAAAAAAAAUCUAGUCUCCCAAAAAUUGCAGAAACACUUUCAAUCGCAAAAUCUUACCUUAUUCUACAUUCAAGUAGAAAUCUUUUUAUCAUUUCUUUUUGCAUUAUCUUUUUUAAUCUUAAUAAUUUGAAAAAUCUAUCAUAGAUACUUAGUUUAUGUGACAGAGGGGAAAAACAUUUUUUUAAUAUAAUCUUUUGGAGAAGUUUAAUUUUAUCAAAUAUACAACAUAAAUAAUUAGUUUACAUCAGUUUACAAGUGCCGGGAUCUCUGUAGAAUAUGUUUACUUAUCUGAUAAGCAGUCCCUAAACUUCCGGGUUGAUUUGUUUCCAUUGUUCAAAAUUAAGAUUGAAGCAAAGAUAUCAACAUUAGUUUAGUGUAAAUAAUAAUCUAGGAAUAAUAAUGUUUGUUUAACUCCAGUAAUAAAACAAGAAAUGUAGAUGAUGAAGAAUUCUUGAUCAUGUUUGAUCGAUUGUUCUAUUUAUUAUAAGAUGUAAUACAAAUGUAUAUAAUUAUGUGUGUAACGGUUGCAAAACGGCUGUAGCCUACUGUAGUAUACAUAAUUGUCUUUUGGUAUAUCAAUAUAUGUCAAUAAUAAAGAUAUAAAUGU